rnacentral:tRNA from 7 species
GGGCGAUUGGCACAGUUGGUUAGCGCGCGUGCUUCACAUGCAUGAGGUCGGAGGUUCAAGUCCUCUAUCGCCCA